rnacentral:lncRNA from 1 species
GUGAAACAAAGAAUUAGGAUCCUCUCUAUUUUAAAUGAAUUUGAGAGUCUCCAUUUUAUGAUCCAAAUUUAAAAUAUAUUGGAAUUUGAUAUCAUGACAAGAGAGAGAAAUGAUGAUGUGAAAAUAUACAAAGAAUGGACUCUCCAUUUUAUUUGAAAUGGAGAUGAUCCUAGUCCUGAAACAAAAGGUUCCCUAUAGGUGAUGGAGUGGUUGCGCUUGAACCCAGGAUACGAAUUCAUAGGUUGAAAAUGUCCCAUGGGUG